AUUUCAGUAUGCAGUUAAAAGCCAACGACAUUGCAAUGACUGAAGUCACAUAUAGACCUGAAGAGCAUUCCUGAACCAGUUCGGUGUUUACAAUAAUCCAUGAACACGAUUAUUGAUGCAGUAAUUUCGUUCGCUACGGAAUAAAAAUCAAGGCGCUCUAUGUGCUGACUCCAGUCUUCCUUAGCUGCAUCGUAAGGAUCGAUUCUGCCAAAGAGUGGCAUGACUAAGGCAGUUAAAAUGAAUAGGAUUUAAUACCUUGAAAGGAGGAACCUCACACAAACUUCUUUAUUCAUCCUUGGGAUGGACCCAGGGUGCUGCACCUGUGAUGGUCAGGCAGGAAUCUGAGGGGGUGAGGAGAAAACCGAACUGUUCAAAAGUUUCCAAGCGAACCAUCGUUGGAAACCUAAAGCGCCUUUGGUGGACUGCGGUUGGUGAUGUGGACAGGAAACAGUAAUUCCCCUUCAUGGCACUAAAAACCCCUCUUUGAUCGCCUCUGCACGAAAGCUUCUGCAAAGCAAGAUGCGUUGAUUGCAAUGGCAAAAGUAGGGCAGUUAAUUUGCAAGGAUGUUUUGUAUUUCCUGUCUGUUGAUCUGACUGAUCCAGUAUUGUGUGUUCAUGCUUGUGUUUCUGUGCACGUGUUUAUGCUUUUGCGUACUUUAUGCUUGUGCAGUUGGGUGCAUGUGUUCGGCUGGGCAUAUACUUGCGUGCAUGUGUUCGUGUUUUUGGAUACAUGUGUGAGGCCUAAGUCUCUCUCAGGCUUACUUUUUCUUUUUGUGUUUGUUCCUGUAAACCCUUUCCACCGGCAGGAGGGUCAGCAACCAGUAAAAAACAGUUUUAAGAUAAGUGACAAAAGAACCAGAGAGAUAGGGUGGCCAUUGCAUUAGGCAGGAAUCUCUGGAAAUUGCGUAUUAAUAUUCCAGAUGUUCCUGCAAAAAGCCCAGGAGAAAGAUUUGCAAGCUCACCUUCUGACUCUCCAGUCCAGUUCCUGGAAUUUCUUUCCCAGUUUCUCUAUAACUUGGUGCACUGUUCCCGUAGCCAGCUCGGAGGGUAUCUGAGCAUGUGCAGCUUACACAAUAGACCGCUUUCACCAUUGCAGAGCAUUGUGGGUAUUCAGUGCCACCAUUGUGGCAUCACUGAUUUUGCUGUUAGAAAGCAUUUCAGUGAUGUGGAGGGAGUUCAGACGGAUGAGGGAAGAAACAUUACUUGCAAUUAAGACACUGUGAAAGCUUCUUUCUGAUAGAAAACUGGGGAAUAACCUUUUCUGUGAUAAAUUCAACACCCAACAAUAAACUCCAAAAUAACCCAAAACUCAUAAACCAUCACUUGGUUCACAAGUUGCUGUUGUUACUUCACAUUUUUGUUGGCACUUGGGACGCUUCCUUUUCCUGUUCACAGGAGAACUCGGCAUGAGAUAC